CUCACAAGAGAUUUUUUGGCAUCUCAGUGGUUCAGGUCUCAACAGGAGCCUGAGAAUUUCUCCGCAUAGUGAAGAAAUGUUCUGGUUGGAUUUAAGGUUGAUUAUGUGACCGCUCUGGCAAGAGCACUUUGACAACUGUAAGAAGAGAGGGCAUGCGCACACAGGGAACUGUGGGGGCUGAAGUCCUUAGCUAGGUCCGCUGCCCGACUGGAGAAUGUUCCGCUAGGAAAGGAGGAAGCCUCCAAAAUACUGAUUCCACGGGAAAGAGCUGACUCCACAAACUUACUGCAUCUGGCUUCUGCCCCUACAAUCCUUCCAAAAUUGCUCUUGCUACUGAUCUUACUCAAAUCACCAAUGACCAACUGACACCUUUUCAAUUCUUAUUUUAUUUGCCAUUUAUCUUUCAUAAAACACUUGCAUUAGGCAGAAUUCUAAGAUGGCUCCCCAAGAUUCCAAGCUAGAAGGAAAACAGGGACCUUAGUCCUACAAAGGCAAUUCUGCCAACAAUAAGAAUGAACCUGAAAGUGGAUUGGACACCCUAAACAGAGAACCCACAGUCAUGCUGACUACAGAACUGUUGCCCUCAUUAAAUUGGAAUCAACAGGCACCUCUCAAGGAGCUGCCUUAGAAGUAUCACCAGCUUCCACAAUUUCAACUUCCAACCCGAAAGUUUUAGCUACAGCUUUGAGCAUUUUCCUAAGAGCAUUCCAACUGCCUGCUGGACAUUUCCAUAUUCAAGUUUUACCGCGUCACUCAUCGUUCUCUAUGGGACAAGAGCAAACAUUUACCCUACUAUUUAGGGUUCUCUCCUUCUAAUCCCAACCUUUAUUCUCAGAUAGCAUUGACCCCACUUCUCCAGGCAAAUUGGUCUACUUGUGGUCCUGAACCUUGCUAAUGUUACCGCUCCCAUAUGGCAUACCCUCCUCAUCCUCUCUACUUAUCCUAAUCUCACCUUUCUUCAGGGCCUAGUUCAAACACCAGUUCCUAAAAACAGCAUCUAUCUGUACCACACAUUUAUAGCUUUGCAUUUCUAUUUACCUUUUCUGGUAUAAUUAUGUUAAUUCCCCAGCUAGAACUCUAAGCUUCUUGAGGGAAGGCACUGGAACUUAUGCUUUUGUUCUUCCUCAAAGUCAGGUAGUAUCCUGCAGGGAGCCUAGU